GUGUGUAAAGCAGGAGGAAGUGAGAGAAGUUCAAACCCAGAUCAGAGAGGAGGAGGAGAGAUUCAGGGAGGAGCUGAGCUGUUACUGAACUAGAAGAGAGAGAAACCUCCACAUUCAACAGAGUUCAGCACACAAACCAUAAACUUUACCUUCAUUCAACAUGUUGUCUUUGGACUAUUAUGCACUUUCUUUACUGAUUCUCACCAUUCUAACAGGUGUCAGCUGUGAAGAUCUCACUCCAACCAACAAAGAAGUGUUCAGUGUAGAAGGCAGCACUGUUACUCUGUCCUAUAGAUACUCCAAAGCUGCUGAUGGGAAUGAUUAUUUAUUCUGGUAUCGACAAUAUCCUGGAAAAUCACCAGAGUUCCUGAUCUCUCACUCAGGAACAGGAGUGAAACUGUCAGAUCCAGUUCCUGGAAUAACCUUUAAAGUGAGUGAAGAUAAAACACUGAUGACUCUUCAGAUCUCCUCUGCUGCAGUGACAGACUCUGCUGUGUACUACUGUGCUGUGAGGCCCACAGUGACAGGAAACACCAAAACUCUGUACAAAAACCGUCUGAGCAAAGACAACAGAAUACUCCACAACAUCCACUAGAGGGAGCCACACACU